CAAAGAUUAAGCCAUGCAUGUCUCAGUGCAAGCCGAAUUAAGGUGAAACCGCGAAAGGCUCAUUAAAUCAGCUAUGGUUCCUUAGAUGGUACGUACAGUUACUUGGAUAACUGUGGCAAUUCUAGAGCUAAUACAUGCAAACCGAGUUCCGACCGCCCCCAAAAAGGCGGAAGGAAUGCUUUUAUUAGAUCAAAACCAAUCGGGUUCGACGGUCCGGGAACGGUCCGUCUUCCCGUCACGUCUUGGCGACUCUGAAUAACUUUGUGCUGAUCGCACGGUCCCGCACCGGCGACGCAUCUUUCAAAUGUCUGACUUAUCAACUUUCGAUGGUAGGCUCUGCGCCUACCAUGGUCGUAACGGGUAACGGGGAAUCAGGGUUCGAUUCCGGAGAGGGAGCCUGAGAAACGGCUACCACAUCCAAGGAAGGCAGCAGGCGCGCAAAUUACCCACUCCCGGCACGGGGAGGUAGUGACGAAAAAUAACGAUGCAGAACUCUUUCCGAGGCUCUGCAAUCGGAAUGAGAACACUCUAAAUCAUUUAACGAGUAUCCAUUGGAGGGCAAGUCUGG
rnacentral:rRNA from 1 species